rnacentral:rRNA from 1 species
GCCUGCAACCGCAGGAGCCAGGAGACAGGUGCUGCAUGGCUGUCGUCAGCUCGUGUCGUGAGAUGUUGGGUUAAGUCCCGCAACGAGCGCAACCCUCGCCUUUAGUUGCCAGCAUUCAGUUGGGCACUCUAAAGGGACUGCCGGUGUCAAACCGGAGGAAGGCGGGGAUGACGUCAAGUCCUCAUGGCCUUUAUGUCCAGGGCUACACACGUACUACAAUGGCCGGUACAAAGGGCGGCGAGUCAGCGAUGACGAGCAAAUCCCGUAAAGCCGGUCUCAGUCCGGAUUGGAGUCUGCAACUCGGCUCCAUGAAGUUGGAAUCGCUAGUAAUCGUGGAUCAGAAUGCCACGGUGAAUACGUUCCCGGGCCUU